rnacentral:rRNA from 1 species
UACGAAGGGAACUAGCGUUGUUCGGAAUCACUGGGCGUAAAGCGGGCGCAGGCGGACUAUCCAGUCAGGGGUGAAAGCCCAAGGCUUAACCUUGGAAUUGCCUUUGAAACUGAUAGUCUGGAGUGUGUGAGGGGGUAGCGGAAUUCCGAAUGUAGAGGUGAAAUUCGUAGAUAUUCGGAAGAACACCAGUGGCGAAGGCGACUUACUGGACACAUAUUGACGCUGAGGUGCGAAAGCGUGGGGAGCAAACAGG